UACGUAGGGGGCAAGCGUUGUCCGGAUUUAUUGGGCGUAAAGAGCGUGUAGGCGGCUUUACAGGUCCGUUGUGAAAACUCGAGGCUCAACCUCGAGACGCCGGUGGAAACCGUAAAGCUAGAGUCCGGAAGAGGAGAGUGGAAUUCCUGGUGUAGCGGUGAAAUGCGCAGAUAUCAGGAAGAACACCCGUGGCGAAGGCGGCUCUCUGGACGGUGACUGACGCUGAGACGCGAAAGCGUGGGGAGCAAACAGG
rnacentral:rRNA from 1 species